rnacentral:rRNA from 1 species
UACGUAGGUGGCGAGCGUUAUCCGGAAUUAUUGGGCGUAAAGCGCGCGCAGGCGGUUCCUUAAGUCUGAUGUGAAAGCCCACGGCUCAACCGUGGAGGGUCAUUGGAAACUGGGGAACUUGAGUGCAGAAGAGAAGAGCGGAAUUCCACGUGUAGCGGUGAAAUGCGUAGAGAUGUGGAGGAACACCAGUGGCGAAGGCGGCUCUUUGGUCUGUAACUGACGCCGAGGCGCGAAAGCGUGGGGAGCAAACAGG